AAUUCUCAACCCCUUCAGCUUUUUGCUGGGUGGGGAUUGGAUGUGGGGGCUUGCGGGCUUCGAAUAGAGGUCGGCUCCCCUUAAAUGCAUUAGCGCGAACGUCUUUGCAGACCGUCACUUGGUGUGAUAAUUAUCUACGCCUCAUGGACUGGAAUGCUGGUUCUGCUUCUAACCGUCCAUUGACUUGGACAAACUUUUUGACA
rnacentral:misc_RNA from 1 species